rnacentral:rRNA from 1 species
UACGUAGGGUGCGAGCGUUGUCCGGAAUUAUUGGGCGUAAAGAGCUUGUAGGCGGUUUGUCGCGUCUGCUGUGAAAAUCCGGGGCUCAACCCCGGACCUUGCAGUGGGUACGGGCAGACUAGAGUGUGGUAGGGGAGACUGGAAGUUCCUGGUGUAGCGGUGAAAUGCGCAGAUAUCAGGAGGAACACCGAUGGCGAAGGGCAGGG